rnacentral:rRNA from 1 species
AUUGAACGCUGGCGGCAGGCUUAACACAUGCAAGUCGAACGAGUGGCGGACGGGUGAGUAAUGUCUGGGAAACUGCCCGAUGGAGGGGGAUAACUAUUGGAAACGGUAGCUAAUACCGCAUACCAUCGGAUGUGCCCAGAUGGGAUUAGCUAGUUGGUGGGGUAACGGCUCACCUAGGCGACGAUCCGUAGCUGGUCUGAGAGGAUGACCAGCCACACUGGAACUGAGACACGGUCCAGACUCCUACGGGAGGCAGCAGUGGGGAAUAUUGCACAAUGGGCGCAAGCCUGAUGCAGCCAUGCCGCGUGUAUGAUGAAGGCCUUCGGGUUGUAAAGUACUUUCAGCGAGGAGGCGUUACUCGCAGAAGAAGCACCGGCUAACUCCGUGCCAGCAGCCGCGGUAAUUC